rnacentral:lncRNA from 1 species
AUGAGCCCGUCCUCUUUAUUCCGUGUUUAUCUGCCGCUUAAUCUGCCAUUGUCUUGUCGUUUGCCGCUUUCACUCACUUUAUAGUCUCCGAAUUCGAAACCCGAACGGAGGGAUGUUACUUCAAGAGUCUCCGGGGAGCUGUUUCAGUUUGUGGCUGGUAGUCGAGGGAUGCACCCAGACUUUCGUUGAACAGAUUUGGAAUCUUUCGGUGCUGAAUUUUUUUGGGGUGAAGAAUGGACAAACUAGACAGGGAGUUAUCAAGUAAACUUGAAGAUGACCACCAACUCAGCAGAUCUGAGCAUCUCAAAGUCUCGAGGUCAAAGAAGUGUUGGCGAAGAAAGACCAAAAAGAGAGGUAGCAGAAAGCUGAGAUCUCGGUGACGCGACACCCGCCUCAAGUCUUCGUGGAGCCCGUGCAACGCAAAUGGUAUUGCUCAAGAAUGAAGGCGCUUUUAGAAGUUUUCAUCCUCUGUUUCUUCGUGUUCAUUUACAUCUGAACUGCAUGGAAGGAAUAUCGACCAAACGAAAGGCGGCUCCACUAGAGAUCACAAGCCAUACCAUGGACAAAUAACUUUUGCGCAAUAUGAAAAUAUAUUGCCGAUGAGAUUUUAUCUUUUGCACAGAGAAUAAUGAGAUGAAAUCAGACAAAAGAGCCUUGAAAACUCAACUUUUUCAGUACGAUUAAGAAUAUAACGUAUAAGAAUAAAAAAUAUCUAGUUUUCAUUCUCAAGGAUAUGCGUUUUUCAUUACAUUUUAUUGCAUUUCAUCCAAAUUGUAAGACAAAAAAUGUGCAUUCUUUGGUGCAGAUCAUGCCAUAUUCCCAUGGCACGAUGCUGUAUUAUAUACUUUUUUCUUGCCAGAGGAUAAACAUUGGUAACUAAUCUCAUUACCACUUGUGUAACACGCAAAUUGAAUUCCUAAAAAUUUCAAUAGCCACGAUUAUUUUCCAAGGGGAACAAAGCAAAAUAUUAUCCUCAUGGGCAACUCUUGUGCUGAACAUCUUGGUUCUAGUCCCUCAAUUCUUUCAAGGACUUCGACUUCAGCUCAGCUAUAAUGGUAUCCUAGUAUAUUGAAAAACACUAUAGACCUGCAUGUCGAAUUACAUUUUUAGAAGAGUGGUUUAAAACAAGAAUGACAAGAAUAAAUCUUAAAAUUGGGUACGUAUUUCUAUCAAACGGAACUAUGUGCAUUUAGACAUGAGCCCCGAGACCCAUAAGAAUAUGUGCAUAACAGGACUCACGUCAUAAUGCACAUAGUUCCGUUUGAUAGAAAUACAUCCAAUCGAAAAUAUAGGGGUGCAAUAUCACCGCCAAAACUAAACUACAUGCAUGCAAGUCAAACUUUUGUGCACAGAAAUUACAUGAAUUAAAGUCCAAAAAACAGGCCGAAUAAGACCAACCGAAAAAGGUCAAGAUUCUGAUUAAAAUCCAUUGCUUGGUAAAAUCAUCCUAACAUUACAAUGAAUUGCGGUUGACAGGCGUACGAAGCAUAAUUAUUUUGUUUUAACUCACCCUCUCAAAUAGGCGGCGUACACAACCUUACUGUUUCCUUAGCAACCAUCGGAUUUUCAACUACGCAUAGCCGCACCAAGACUUCAGAAGAGCCGUUGUCACACUACCAAUAUCGACAUAAGAUAUAAUAAGAUUGAUCAUGUAAGGACGGCCGAAGGGUUCUUGUUGUUCCUUGUACUUAUUUUGAUAAAGAAAAAAUUCCCAUUAUUUCGGUGCAUCUUUUUGAGGAGGGAUUCCAAGCUCACAAAACAGGCAAUCUGAAAUAAUUUUGUCCGUUUUGCUGAAGUUUAUGAGUGACUACGUGCCCGAUGAUUGAGUUUUAAUGGGAAUGGGGAGGAAAAGUUUGUUUAAAUAAAGGACUCAUCUUUCAAUUGUGAAGUUUUGAAUAAAAUUUAAGUAUAUCAAUUUAUAAGAAUUUAUUUAUUGAUGACUUACAAAGCACCCAGUUGAUAGUGAACACUUUUGGUGCGUAUACGUAGUGUACAGCUUUUUUGCACUUAAAUUCGCCUAUGGCGGUUACACGCCAAAAUAAUGCAUUUCUAAGAAGACGGAAAAGUGUCUUACAUUUUUGUACUCUACUUACAAACGCAUUUUAGAAGUUUCUCCGAAGAAGAAGGAAGUCAGACUAGUUAUCAAUGAUAUUAAUUAAGAAUAACUAAGUUAACUACGAAAUUUUAAGUUCUGGUUUUAACUUCAAACCUUUUCUCCUUCUCAUUUUGCUGUUUGAGUGAUUUUGAAGUGGCUCAAAUGCC